CUAAAAUGUUGCUGCAAAUUUUUUCUAGGGUUGUAAAAUCUUUAUGUAAUCAGUUACUAAGUUACAAACAUUGACCUUAAAAAUAAUGCAACUUGGAAGAAUGAAGAAAGGAAUGACUGUAACGUAGAGCUAGAGACAUACAAAUGUCUCAAUUGAAUAUUAAUUGAUUAUUUUGUGCUGAGGUAUCAAUAAUUAAAUUUGGUGUUUAGUUAUCAAGCCUCGGCUGUCCACAUCAUACAUUACGUGCAGUGAGUUGGGUUGUCACUUCUUAUGAUAACAUUUGUCUAUAUAUCUUGUAAUCCUUCUUGCUUUUUUGUUGUACUCCUCUGUCGUUUGCUUCAUAAUCCUUUGAUAGAGUUCACUUAUUGAAUUUGGACUAAGAUAUGCAGGGCAAAGAGACAAUGAUAUUGAAGAGCAAAGAAUUAUUGAUUGCUAAUCACAAGCCUUGGUGCCAUCUGUUUUGAACAAUGAGACUCCAAUGUCAUUUUAACGAUGCAGCUCAGAAGCGUCGCAACGAUGGGGAGUUAACUGAUGAUUUUACCACAACAAAGACACUUAUAGAAGCUCAUUCAUUAGGUUUUAAGGUUCUAAGAUGGAUGAGUUAAACUUAUAAGGUUCCAGGUUGUUGCCAUGGGCUGGAGCUGAGUGAGAACUCCUCCUGAAGUCAACCAAACCAACUACUCUUAUUAUUCUCUUAAACAAGAUUUAGUUAGGUAGAUUAGUACUUAACGUGCAAUCAUUGAGACAAUAUCUUUUUAUUACUGAACAACAAAUUGAACACUUGCCAAGGAUUAUCAGGAAGUCUUCAUUAACAAGGCUUCACAAGCUUGAUAUUAAGACAAGGUGAGUGUGAGAGAGUAGAAAUUUGGAAAGGAUGGAACUAUUUUAAUUGGACUUGGUGUGCCAAGAUGAUUGUGUAUUUGGCAAGGAUAUUUUCUAGGACAAGGACUUUGUUACUAUGAAUACACAAAACUAGCAACUUUUUAGGGGAGUACCAAAAUAGCAUAUUUUCAUAAACGGAGGAAUAUAAACUUUUUUUUUGGCAGUGUCAAAAAUCAGAUUAAAUCCUAUUAAAAAUAAAAAAAACAUAUUUAACCUAAAUAUUCAUCUUGGCCGGCUUCUCAGCCACCCUACCUAAGGACAUCCUAGCCGACCAAAAGUCAUGCACCUGGGCAUCCAUCACAAGGUCUGACACGAUGGCUCAGGAGAAAACGUCUCGCCCAACAGUGUCUGCUUGACCGAGAUCAACAAGUCAAGAUAAGGCGGCCCAAGGCCACUUAUCCACUCAGACGUCAAGUACUACUGAUUUUAAUGAUUUUAUUCAUUAAAAUCAUAUUAUUUAGAGUUCUAAGUUUCUGAGAACCUCUUUCACUCAAACACUGACUUGAGCAUCGAGUGUUUACCGCAGGUACCUCCUCCACGACCCACGCGCCAUGCAACCUGAAGCUCUGCCCUGACUUCUAGGAUAAACACGACGUAAUUCUGUCGCAAUCCAUCACCUCAACUAAGAGAGAUUCGCACCAGAUUGUUUGGAUUAGCACAUCUAUAUCUAUGAGAAAAGCUUAAAUCUUAUAUGAAUGUUUUAAGUUACUGUAUUUGCUUUA